UGCGUAGGUGGCAGGGUAAGUUCGGUGUGAAAGCUUCGAGCUCAACUCGAAAAUGGCAUCGAAAACUAUCCUGCUUGAGGGUCGGAGGGGAGACUGGAAUUCUCGGUGUAGCAGUGAAAUGCGUAGAUAUCGAGAGGAACACCAGUGGCGAAAGCGGCACACUGGGUCUUAACUGACGCUGAGGCACGAAAGCCAGGGGAGCAAACGG
rnacentral:rRNA from 1 species